rnacentral:rRNA from 1 species
GACGAACGCUGGCGGCGUGCUUAACACAUGCAAGUCGAACGGAAAGGCCCUGCUUUUGUGGUGUGCUCGAGUGGCGAACGGGUGAGUAACACGUGAGUAACCUGCCCUUGACUUUGGGAUAGCUUCAGGAAACUGGGGCUAAUACCUGAUAGGAGCUCCUGCUUCAUGGUGGGGGUGGGAAAGUUUCGGCGGUUGGGGAUGGACUCGCGGCUUAUCAGGUUGUGGGUGGGGUAGUGGCGUACCACGGCUUUGACGGGUAGCCGGCCUGAGAGGGUGACCGGCCACAUUGGGAUUGAGAUGCGACCCAGACUGCUACGGGCGGAAGCAGUGGGGGAUAGUGCACGCUGGGCGGAAGCCUGAUGCAGCAACGCCGCGUGGGGGAUGACGGCCUUCGGGUAGUAAACCGCUUCCGCCUAUGACGAAGCGUGAGUGACGGUAAUGGGUAAAGAAGCACCGGCUAACUACGUG